rnacentral:rRNA from 1 species
UACGGAGGGUGCAAGCGUUAUCCGGAUUCACUGGGUUUAAAGGGUGCGUAGGUGGCCAACUAAGUCAGACGUGAAAUCCCUCGGCUUAACCGGGGAACUGCGUCUGAUACUGGAUGGCUUGAGUUUGGGAGAGGGACGCGGAAUUCCAGGUGUAGCGGUGAAAUGCGUAGAUAUCUGGAGGAACACCGGUGGCGAAGGCGGCGUCCUGGACCAAUACUGACACUGAAACGCGAAAGCCAGGGGAGCAAACGGG